AAUAAGUCAGGCGUGACAGGUUGUAGCUUAACUAUAGACUUGCGUUUGAUACUGAUAGUCUUGAACUGAGAUGAGGUUAGCAGUAUGCGACAUGUAGCGGUGAAGUGCAUAGAUAUGUCGUAGAAUACCGAUUGCGAAGGCAGCUAACUGGCCUGUAAUUGACGCUGAGGCACGAAAGCUUGGGGAGCGAACAGGAUUAGAUACCCUGGUAGUCCACGCCCUCCACGAUGUUCACUCAAUGUUGGGAGAUAUUUCAGCAGCCAAGGGAAACCGAUAAGUGAACCACCUGGGGAGUACGCCCGCAAGGGUGAAACUCAAAGGAAUUGACGGGGGUCCGCACAACCGGUGGAGCAUGUGGUUUAAUUCGAUGAUACGCGAGGAACCUUACCUGGGCUAGAAUGCUAAGCGCAAUUUGGUGAAAGCCGAAGCUCCUUCGGGACGUUUAGCAAGGUGCUGCAUGGCUGUCGUCAGCUCGAGCCGUGAGCUGUUGGGUUAAGUCCCGCAACGAGCGCAAGCCCUAUCCGUAGUCACCAGCACGUAAUGGUGGGGACUCUAGCUAGAGGGCCCGCGUAAGCCGCGAGGAAGGUGGGGACGACGACAAGUCAUUAUCACCUUCUACCGAUAGNGGCGAGACACAAUCUACAAUGCUGCAUACAGAGGGAAGCGAACCCGCGAGGUGGAGCCAAUCUCUAGAAAGUGCAUCCCAGUUCGGAUUGGAGUCUGCAACCCGACUCCAUGAAGGUGGAAUCGCUAGUAAUCGCGCAUCAGCCAUGGCGCGGUGAAUACGUUCCCGGACGUUGUACUCACCGCCCGUCAAGCCAUGGAAGCUGGGGGUGCCUGAAGAUGGUGACUUAACGGGGAGCUAUCU
rnacentral:rRNA from 1 species